CUGAUGCGAUAUGCCCGUCUGUUCGCAGCGUAGAUGUUGGACGUUUUCAUACAUGAAUAUUGUUUGUGUAAUGCAGUCAUAAUAUUUACGCAGGGACGCAGGAGGAGUGAGGUGGAAGCUCUGCGGCACUGUGUGCACAGAAACUCGGACGGGGACUUGAGAUCGACUCCUGCAGGCAGUUUACCCUCGAAUGAUCCAGGAAUUAAGACCCAUGAUGUUGCAAUGAUGUGGACUGCUGUCCUGUGAUGUCUUUCUUUCUCAGAAAUGAUGGCAGUACAGCUGAAUCAAACAGGUUGCUUUUUGGGGUACUGUCAGUCUCGUCCAAAUGGCUCUGCACCUUUAACCAUCCCGCACUGGUAUCAUACUGGAAGGAAACAUCACUAUGGAUGACACUGCCACCCUCAGGCGUUUGGCCUUUUAGUUUAAGGAGUAUAAUCUAGAUAUCUCUUCCUUAAAAGACGAAGGAACAGCUCCAACAUCAUUCAGCCCUCUUUGCUUUAUUUUGAAUAACCUAACUUAAAGUGUUUAGCCGGUGAAAGUUUGAUUGAUUAUUGGUAUUGGUGAACACUGUGCCAUGGAUUCAUUUAUGGAUGGAUUUAUUUUAAAGGUAUUAGGU